rnacentral:rRNA from 1 species
UUUCAUAAACAUGGCUUAUCUAUGUCUAAAUUGACAGGGCAAGGGUAUGAUGGAGAUUCUAACAUGAGAGGGAAAUUUCAUGGGUUGCAACGGUUGAUACUAGAUGAAAAUCCUUAUGCAUUGUAUAUUCAUUGCUUUGCCCAUCAAUUACAAUUAGUGGUUGUUGCUGUUGCUAAGUGUUGUUCCUCUGUAUUGGAUUUUUUUAACCACACAACUUUGAUUGUCAACACUGUCAAUGCUUCUUGUAAGAGACAUGAUGAACUAGCCCAACAACAUCAUGACACUAUUGUGAGCCAGUUGGAGUCUGGAGAAAUUUUUUCAGGAAGAGGGAAAAACCAAGCAACCAACCUUGUAAGACCCGGGAAUAUACGGUGGGGCACACAUCAUAAAACUUUGUGUCGAUUUAUUAUGAUGUGGACAUCUGUUUUGCAAGUAUUAGAGAAC